rnacentral:rRNA from 1 species
UACGAAGGGGGCUAGCGUUGCUCGGAAUCACUGGGCGUAAAGCGCACGUAGGCGGAUCUUUAAGUCAGGGGUGAAAUCCUGGAGCUCAACUCCAGAACUGCCUUUGAUACUGAGAAGCUUGAGUCCGGGAGAGGUGAGUGGAACUGCGAGUGUAGAGGUGAAAUUCGUAGAUAUUCGCAAGAACACCAGUGGCGAAGGCGGCUCACUGGCCCGGUACUGACGCUGAGGUGCGAAAGCGUGGGGAGCAAACAGG